GGGUGCGAUCAAUAAGCACUAAAUGCACCGGAUCCCAUCAGAACUCCGCAGUUAAACGUGCUUGGGCGAGAGUAGUAUUAGGAUGGGUGACCUCUCUGGAAAGUCCUCGUGUUGCACCCC
rnacentral:rRNA from 1 species